UUUUCUCUCGCCAAAAACACUUUGCCCGAUAGCUUCUCCAUCACACAAUUCAACAUUCAUCUCCAUCAUAGCCUUUGUUUCUCUUCUCUCCCAUAAUCUGACAAAUUGACCUUCCUUAUCUUCUCUAUCUAGUUAUACACUACUUUCUCUUACACUCUUCCACCUCUUCAGUUCUCAUUCACUUUCUUUCUCUUCAUCUCCACGCCACUCUUUCGCCUCGACUGCCUCUCUCUUUCAUCACUUUCAUUCCUCUGCCUCUCUCUCCCUCCUCGACGAAGCCCUAAUGCUCUCAGUAAUAUGAUGCUUCAAUCACUGAGGCUUUGGGGUCGCACAAGAUUAAGAAACGUUAAUGGCCUAUUUUAAAACUUAUGCAGAUGGUGAUGGUGGGAGUGGGAGUGGAUUGAUAGGCUAAGCUCGGUAACAAUAGUUUGUGUUACUAAGCAUUUGUCUAGUCUACCAAUUACUAUCGUGCUGCCAUUGAUUCCAGUUUGUCUUAACUCAAAUCCUUUCUUGGAGCUAUCAGCUGCUAUGCUUCUGCUUCAUUCGCCAAGUACAAUGUUGCAUGUGAUCAGUUUUUACUAGCCUGAUUUUGCUGUCGUGUUCUAUGACUAUUGGAACCAAACAGAGUGGUUGAGGAGUAAAAACUGAUCUAGGGUAUUGGCAAACUGGAAUUUUAAGCUUUUGUCAGGUAGGACAUCCUUGGUUUUCUAUCUUGAUGAGGACAGACGUUUUUAAUGACAAAGAUAAUCAUUAUGAGUUUCCAGCUAAUCUGCUAUAAAAAAGAGAAGCCUCUCAAUAGCAUUCAGCUUUAAGCUUCCCGUCAGGCCCCUUGUGAGUUGUGCCUUACUUUUAGCUUGAUUUUCUAUUUAUUUUGGAUUUGACCAUAGCCAUAGAACUUGUUUCGGCAGCUGAUUUAAUUGAGAGAAUUACUUGUGCAAUCAAAGAUUCCUAAUUGCUUUGAGUUUCAUUUUAAUUAAGAAAGGAAUUUUUUAAAUUUGGUUACAAAUAUUUAUGAAUAAUCACAUUAGCAUUUUCAAAUUACCACAAGUCCUUUAUUAAUGAAAUAAUGAGUCUUGCUUUUACGUUUGAAUUAUUACGAGUCCUCCAUUAAACGUUUUAUUACUUGAUUUUUCAUUUCUUAUAAACUAUCUUUGUGGAAUUAAUCAGUGUUCUCUUUUCAAGUCAUUGUGUGGUAUUGAAUGUUUACUUAGAUACUUUCGUCUCAAUAUGAGGCUGCUCAUGCUUUUUCUUGGUCUACUCUCCUUGAUAAAUCAUUUUGUGGAACGUCUUUGCCUCUGUUGGUGGCCAAUUUAGACAUUAUACUUGUAAGCAUGACUUCUAUUACUGACAUUUUGUAAUUGAUUGAUUGUUUAUAAGCCAGUCUUUGACAAGUCUAAUGUUCUUGUGACAUCUAUUCAGGCACAAUAUGACUUACAUGAUGAUUGGCACAAUAUUCCAAGAGAUGUGACAAGAGAAAUAGAAAAUGAUACUUAAUUUUGAAGGCUUUAUGUUGGACAGCUGUAGAAUAUUUUGUGCUGAAAGUAGUAACUUUUCAAUAUGUUGAAUAUUUAAGAGUACUUGAAUACUUAAAGAAAAUUUUGUUGUU